rnacentral:rRNA from 1 species
AUUGAACGCUGGCGACAGGCCUAACACAUGCAAGUCGAACGAGUGGAGGACGGGUGAGUAAUGUCUGGGAAACUGCCUGAUGGAGGGGGAUAACUACUGGAAACGGUAGCUAAUACCGCAUACCAUCGGAUGUGCCCAGAUGGGAUUGGCUAGUGGGUGGGGUAAAGGCUCACCUAGGCGACGAUCCCUAGCUGGUCUGAGAGGAUGAUCAGCCACACUGGAACUGAGACACGGUCCAGACUCCUACGGGGGGCGGCAGUGGGGAAAUUUGGACAUGGGGCGAAAGCCGGAGCCAGCAAUGCCGCGGGAGUGAAGAAGGUCUUCGGUUUGUAAAUCACUUUAGGUUGGGAGGCUUUACCAACAGAAUAAGCACCGGCUAACUUCGUGCCAGCAGCCGCGGUAAUAC